rnacentral:rRNA from 1 species
UUAUGGAACAUGGGUGAAACACUGAUGCAGCAAUCAUCCGUGUAUGAGGAAGGCCUUUGUGUUUAAAGUUACGUGCGGCAGAGUAGAAAAGGCAUCCCCUAAUACGAUAUACAGAUGACGGUAUCUGGAUAAUAAGCACCGGCUAACUACGGUCAAGCAGCCGCGGUAAUACGUAGGGUGCAAGCGUUAAUCGGAAUUACUGGGCGUAAAGAGUGUGUAGGCGGUUCGGUAAGAAAGAUGUGAAAUCCCAGGGCUCAACCUUGGAACUGCAUUUUUAACUGCCGAGCUAGAGUAUGUAAGAGGGGGGUAGAAUUCCACGUGUAACAGUAAAAUGCGUAGAUAUGUGGAGGAAUCCCGAUGGCGAAGGCAGCCCCCAGGGAUAAUACUGACGCUCAGACACGAAAGCGUGGGGAGCAAACA